AUACGGAGGAUGCAAGCGUUAUCCGGAUUCAUUGGGUUUAAAGGGUGCGCAGGCGGAAUGAUAAGUCAGUGGUGAAAUCCUACGGCUCAACUGUAGAACUGCCAUUGAUACUGUCGUUCUUGAGUACACUUGGAGUGGGCGGAAUGUGUCAUGUAGCGGUGAAAUGCUUAGAUAUAACACAGAACACCGAUCGCGAAGGCAGCUCACUAAAUUGUAACUGACGCUCAGGCACGAAAGCGUGGGGAUC
rnacentral:rRNA from 1 species